GUGCUUGCUUCCACAGCACAUGUACUAAAAUUGGAACAAAACAGAGAAAAUUAACCUAACCCCUGCACAAGGAUGACAUGCAAAUUUGUGAAGCAGUCAAUAUUUUA